GAAAAAGUACGCAAGAACUGCUAAUUCAUGCGUCCAUGUAUAAAACCAUGGCUUUUUCA
rnacentral:tRNA from 1 species